rnacentral:rRNA from 1 species
GACGAACGCUGGCGGCGUGCCUAAUACAUGCAAGUUGAGCGCUGAAGGUUGGUACUUGUCCCAACUGGCUGAGCAGCGAACGGGUGAGUAACGCGUGGGGAAUCUGCCUUUGAGCGGGGGACAACAUUUGGAAACGAAUGCUAAUACCGCAUAAAAACUUUAAACACAAGUUUUAAGUUUGAAAGAUGCAAUUGCAUCACUCAAAGAUGAUCCCGCGUUGUAUUAGCUAGUUGGUGAGGUAAGGCUCACCAAGGCGAUGAUACAUAGCCGACCUGAGAGGGUGAUCGGCCACAUUGGGACUGAGACACGGCCCAAACUCCUACGGGAGGCAGCAGUAGGGAAUCUUCGGCAAUGGACGAAAGUCUGACCGAGCAACGCCGCGUGAGUGAAGAAGGUUUUCGGAUCGUAAAACUCUGUUGGUAGAGAAGAACGUUGGUGAGAGUGGAAAGCUCAUCAAGUGACGGUAACUACCCAGAAAGGGACGGCUAACUACGUG